GACAGAGGGUGCAAGCGUUAAUCGGAAUUAUUGGGCGUAAAGCGCACGUAGGCGGAUUGAUAAGUUGGGUGUGAAAUCCCUGGGCUUAACCUGGGAACUGCAUUCAAAACUGUCAGUCUAGAGUAUGGUAGAGGAAGGCGGAAUUUCCGGUGUAGCGGUGAAAUGCGUAGAUAUCGGAAAGAACACCAGUGGCGAAGGCGGCCUUCUGGACCAAUACUGACGCUGAGGCACGAAGGCCAGGGGAGCAAACGGGG
rnacentral:rRNA from 1 species